rnacentral:pre_miRNA from 1 species
UCUUAUAGAGGAACAAAGAAAGUGGUUUCUUGAGGUGAAGACUACUUUUGAUGAAGAUGUUGUGAA